GACGGAGGGUCCAAGCGUUGUCCGGAAUCACUGGGUGUAAAGGGUGUGUAGGCGGACUUGUAAGUCAGAGGUGAAAGCCCACGGCUCAACCGUGGAAUUGCCUCUGAUACUGCAAGUCUUGAGUCCCGGAGAGGUCGCCGGAAUUCGUGGUGUAGCGGUGAAAUGCGUAGAUAUCACGAGGAACACCAGUUGCGUAGGCUGGUGGCUGGACGGGAACUGACGCUGAGGCACGAAAGCGUGGGGAGCGAACAGG
rnacentral:misc_RNA from 1 species